rnacentral:rRNA from 1 species
CCUACGGGAGGCAGCAGUGAGGAAUAUUGGUCAAUGGACGAAAGCCUGACGCAGCGACGCCGCGUGAGGGAUGAAGGUCUUCGGAUCGUAAACCUCUGUCAGCAGGGAAGAACGGUCACUGUGCUAAUCAGCAGUGAAUUGACGGUACCUGCAAAGGAAGCACCGGCUAACUCCGUGCCAGCAGCCGCGGUAAUACGGAGGGUGCGAGCGUUAAUCGGAAUUACUGGGCGUAAAGCGCUCGUAGGCGGUAUGUCAAGUCAAGGGUGAAAUCCCCGCGCUCAACGUGGGAACUGCCUUUGAAACUGGCAAAGUGUAGUGUGUGAUAGGAGAGUGGAAUUCCAGGUGUAGGAGUGAAAUCCGUAUAUAUCUGGAGGAACAUCAGUGGCGAAGGCGACUAUCUGGCACAUAACUGACGCUGAGGAGCGAAAGCGUGGGUAGCAAACAGGAUUAGAUACCCGAGUAGUC